UUUAUUUUUUAAAGAAUUUGACACUUCUCGAAUGGAAAUGGGUGCAGUGGCAGAUCUUUUUGAUCGUAAUGGUGGAGACCCGAUUGGCAAGAACGCAAACCAGCAACUGAUUCAGAUAAAAUACAUGAUGAAGUUAAACGCCUUGUUAUCCUUUGCACAUGUCGACAAAAAUUUCGCGUAUUUCAAGUUGGCAAAGGGAAAUAUAGGUUUGGCGACUCGACUCUCAAAAAUUACGAAUAUUGCGAAUAUUGCGUAGCACAGUUAUGGUUCGUGUAGGUGGCGGCUGGCUUGCACUUGAUGAGUUCUUAUAAAAAAAUUUUCCUUGUCGCGAAUUUGACACUUCUCGAAUGGAAAUGGGUGCAGUGGCAGAUCUUUUUGAUCGUAAUGGUGGAGACCCGAUUGGCAAGAACGCAAACCAGCAACUGAUUCAGAUAAAAUACAUGAUGAAGUUAAACGCCUUGUUAUCCUUUGCACAUGUCGACAAAAAUUUUGCGUAUUUCAAGUUGGCAAAGGGAAAUAUAGGUUUGGCGACUCGACUCUCAAAAAUUACGAAUAUUGCGAAUAUUGCGUAGCACAGUUAUGGUUCGUGUAGGUGGCGGCUGGCUUGCACUUGAUGAGUUCUUAUAAAAAAAUUUUCCUUGUCGCGCUGGUUUUAAUGACUCGAGUGUUUUAUUACAACUCUGCUCUACAUAAUCUAUUUAAUCAUCCAUACGUCAGUG